GAUGAGAACGCAGCGAAAUGCGAUAAGUAAUGUGAAUUGCAGAAUUCAGUGAAUCAUCGAAUCUUUGAACGCACCUUGCGCCCUUUGGCCAUUCCGAAGGGCAUGCCUGUUUGAGUAUCAUGAACACCUCAACUCUUCAUGGUUUUCCGUGAUGAGCUUGGACUUUGGGGGUCUUGCUGGCCUAUGGUCAGCUCCUCUAAAAUAAAUCAGCUUGCCAGUGUUUGGUGGGUAUCACAGGUGUGAUAACUAUCUACGCUUGUGGUUUUCCACCAGGUAACCUUCAGCAGUGGAGGUUCGCUGGAGCUCACAGAUGUGUCUCUCCUCAGUGAGGACAGCUCUUUGAAUGUUUGAUCUCAAAUCAGGUAGGACUACCCGCUGAACUUAAGCAUAUCAAUAAGCGGAGGA
rnacentral:misc_RNA from 1 species